rnacentral:rRNA from 1 species
AGCGAACGCUGGCGGCAGGCCUAAUACAUGCAAGUCGAGCGAAUGGAUUAAGAGCUUGCUCUUAUGAAGUUAGCGGCGGACGGGUGAGUAACACGUGGGUAACCUGCCCAUAAGACUGGGAUAACUCCGGGAAACCGGGGCUAAUACCGGAUAACAUUUUGAACCGCAUGGUUCGAAAUUGAAAGGCGGCUUCGGCUGUCACUUAUGGAUGGACCCGCGUCGCAUUAGCUAGUUGGUGAGGUAACGGCUCACCAAGGCAACGAUGCGUAGCCGACCGGAGAGGGUGAUCGGCCAAACUGGGACGGAGAAACGGCCCGGACUCCUACGGGAGGCAGCAGUAGGGAAUCUUCCGCAAUGGACGAAAGUCUGACGGAGCAACGCCGCGUGAGUGAUGAAGGCUUUCGGGUCGUAAAACUCUGUUGUUAGGGAAGAACAAGUGCUAGUUGAAUAAGCUGGCACCUUGACGGUACCUAACCAGAAAGCCACGGCUAACUACGUGCCAGCCGCCGCGGUAA